rnacentral:rRNA from 1 species
UACAGAGGCCCCAAGCGUUACUGAGAAUCACUGGGUUUAAAGGGUGCGUAGGUGGCGCGUUAAGUCCGUUGUGAAAUCCCUUGGCUCAACCAAGGAAAUGCUUCGGAUACUGGCGUGCUUGAGGCUAGUAGGGGUCACUGGAACUGACGGUGGAGCGGUGAAAUGCGUAGAUAUCACUUGGAACGCCAAUGGUGAAAACAGCUCGCUGGGGGUGUGCUGACGCUGAGACACGAAAGCCAGGGGAGCAAACGGG